GGCGCCAUCGCCACCACCGUCAACCCCCUCUACACCAUCCCCGAGCUCUCCAAGCAGGCCGCCGACUCCGGCGCCCGCCUGGUCAUCACCGUCCCCCAGCUCUUCCCCAAGGUCAGGGAGCUCCGCCUGCCCACCGUGAUCCUGGGGACCUCGAAGCUCUCCGCGGCGGAGGCCGCGGGGACCUCCGUCGCCUACCUUCCAGAUCUGGUCCAGUCUGUCGGCGACUCGCCGGAGUUCGUCCCCCCGCCGGCGGCGCAGACCGACCUGGCGGCGCUGUUCUACUCCUCGGGCACCACGGGGGCCAACAAGGGGGUGGAGCUGACGCACCGCAAUUUCAUCGUCGCAUCUCUGAUGAUGAC
rnacentral:lncRNA from 1 species